GUGGGGAAUCUUGCACAAUGGGCGAAAGCCUGAUGCAGCCAUGCCGCGUGUGUGAAGAAGGCCUUCGGGUUGUAAAGCACUUUAAGCGGGGAGAAAAGGAUGGUAGCUAACAUCUGCCAUCUGUGAUGUUACCCGCAGAAUAAGCACCGGCAAACUUCGUGCCAGCAGCCGCGGUAAUACGAAGGGUGCGAGCGUUAAUCGGAAUUACUGGGCGUAAAGAGCACGUAGGCGGUUUGGUAAGCGGAAUGUGAAAUCCCCGGGCUUAACCUGGGAACUGCAUUCCGAACUGCCAAGCUAGAGUGUGGUAGAGGUGAGCGGAAUUUCCUGUGUAGCGGUGAAAUGCGUAGAUAUAGGAAGGAACAUCAGUUGCGAAGGCGGCUCACUGGACCAACACUGACGCUGAGGUGCGAAAGCGUGGGUAGCGAACAGGAUUAGAUACCCCGGUAGUCC
rnacentral:rRNA from 1 species